GAUGAACGCUGGCGGCGUGCCUAAUACAUGCAAGUCGAGCGAACAGACGAGGAGCUUGCUCCUCUGACGUUAGCGGCGGACGGGUGAGUAACACGUGGAUAACCUACCUAUAAGACUGGGAUAACUUCGGGAAACCGGAGCUAAUACCGGAUAAUAUAUUGAACCGCAUGGUUCAAUAGUGACAGAUGGUUUUGCUGUCACUUAUAGAUCGUUCCGCGCCGCAUUAGCUAGUUGGUAAGGUAACGGCUUACCAAGGCAACGAUGCGUAGCCGACCUGAGAGGGUGAUCGGCCACACUGGAACUGAGACACGGUCCAGACUCCUACGGGAGGCAGCAGUAGGGAAUCUUCCGCGAUGGGCGAAAGCCUGACGGAGCAACGCCGCGUGAGUGAUGAAGGUCUUCGGAUCGUAAAACUCUGUUAUUAGGGAAGAACAAAUGUGUAAGUAACUAUGCACGUCUUGACGGUACCUAAUCAGAAAGCCACGGCUAACUACGUG
rnacentral:rRNA from 1 species